rnacentral:tmRNA from 3 species
GGGGAUGACAGGUAUCGAUGAAGAUAGCUCUUUGACAACCGCAAGCCUCCGUUGGUCACCCGGAGAGAAACAGACCAAAAACUAACUGUCGACAAAAAAGUCACAGCCAGCGAAUCACCCUUGGGUAAAUUCCUAGGGGCUUUCGCUCCUGAAACCGCUGACGCCGCAUACGCGUACGCAGUCUAAGGCGUUUUCGGAUUAAAACGCUCGAGGUUUAACCGAAGGCGAGUACAAACUCGGGAUACAAGGUUAGAAGUGCCUAGGUCUAACCCCAUGCAAUCUAGGACAACUUUUGGCGGAUCUUGUUUGUGAGGAAACCAAGAGUUAAUAAAUCACAAACUAAGCUUGUAGUGGUUGUUACCGAAUAUCUUCAGACGUGGGUUCAAUUCCCACCGCCCCCACAA